rnacentral:rRNA from 1 species
GAUGAACGCUAGCUACAGGCUUAACACAUGCAAGUCGAGGGACCGGCGCACGGGUGAGUAACACGUAUCCAACCUUCCCUUUACUCGGGGAUAGCAUUUCGAAAGACAGAUUAAUACCAGAUGUAAAGUAUGGGGAUGUGUUCCAUUAGGUUGUUGGUGAGGUAACGGCUCACCAAGCCUUCGAUGGAUAGGGGUUCUGAGAGGAAGUUCCCCCACAUUGGAACUGAGACACGGUCCAAACUCCUACGGGAGGCAGCAGUGAGGAAUAUUGGUCAAUGGGCGUUAGCCUGAACCAGCCAAGUAGCGUGAAGUAUGAAGGCUUAUGGGUCGUAAACUUCUUUUAUAUAAGAAUAUGUAUUAUAUGAAUAAGGAUCGGCUAACUCCGUGCCAGCAGCCGCGGUAAUUC